GUGUAGUGACCACCAAAGCCAAAUUGCCGUGCCCCUAUUUCAUUAUGUGUUUAAGUUUAACCCUGUUGAACCAUGUUAAGCCUUUGUUCUUUGUUAACCUUACCUAGCCUAGUUUUCGGACCAUCCAUACCCUUAUUCUUGAAGCAUAGUAAAGCAUGACUAAAAAUGAACUCCUUUUUUAUCAAUGUAUUGCAGAAAGCAAGUGUGGGGGAAGUGAUUCUUGUGUGUGUGUGUGUGUGCCAAAGUCCUUAAUAAGGCACGGGUAGAAAAGAAAAAAAAAAGUAUGAAUAAGAGCUCUAAAGUUGUUUGUUAAAAAAGGGUCCAAAACAUUGAAUUCGGCCCUAAGUGUUGCAUGAAUCUUCCCUUUGUAUUUAAAAGUUGAUUCUACAUUCUAAAGUGAAUUCCAAGUGUCUAUUUCAUUGCUUUGCUUGCUAUUGCUUUAAGAAUGUUUGUUAUUCCUACCCUUUCUUUAUUAGCGAUUACCCCAAGCCUGGUUACAAUCCUUGACUUCAAACUUGAGUGUUGUGUGUUUCAAUUUGUGGAGUUCGAGAUUGGUAUGAGCAUAUGGUGUCACUGGUUCUCGUAUCUAAGUAGUAGCAUUCCAUUCAUGAGAUCAUAUCUAAACAUGCUUAAUAACUCCAGAAAAUUGCUUUAUUUGUUAUAACAUAUGUGAGUCCUAGUCUUUCGUGCUUACAUUAAUCUUCUCACAUAUACUAGUGUAGGGUGUGUAGUCAGAAACUGUGUGUGAAAAUAGAGAGUAUCUUGUAAGAAAUUGAGCAAAUUCUCUAAGGCAUGUUACUACAUUCAAAACAUCGUUUUAAUUGGUUAAUUGUGAACUAGUAAGUGGUGACUGUGAUUAAGUAUGUGCUCAAGUAUAAAGAUGACCAAAAUUUGUGGGAAUGAUGAUUUUUAAGAUGUCAUGUUUCAUUGAAAAUCCCUGAGGCAAAUGUUGGAAGGUCUAGGUUGUGUUUUGUUUGUUUUGUUUGUUUCGUUUUGUUUCUUUUGUUUUGCUCGAGGACUAGCAAAAGCUAAGUGUGGGGGAAUUUGAUAGGUGCAUAUUUAUGCAACUUAGUUAGCUUGUUUCUUGGCAUUUACUGAGUUUAAUUCUAGUUAUUUUGGUACUUUAAGCUUUUUCGUGUGUUUGCAGGUUCAAAUAACAAAGUUGGCAACAAAGUGCUAUUUGGAGCAUUUUGGAGCAUUUUUGGUCCAAGAUUGGAUAAUGCAAACAUGGAGACAUGAGGAUGGACGUUUUUGAAGAUUAGAAGGCUAGAAAUUAGCAUGUGUGUGUGCAAGUGUGUUGACCUACAACUACAAACAUUCAUACACGGCAUGGGCAGAAAAUAUGUUGAUUGCUAGCUAAAAUAAUGAAGAACAUAUGUGUGUGCAAGUGUAAUAGCUGGUACAUGUGGAAAUAAAGAUAGAAAACAGCGCACACAUGCGAAGAACAGGGAGACAACAUUCAUACACGGCAUAGACUUGAUUGCUAGCUGAAAUGAUGUUAUGUGGAAAUGAUGAUUACAUGACAGCACACACACAUGAGAAGUGAGCUGGAACACAUGGCAAAGAGUGCAGAAAAUCAAGUUUGAAGACACAUGGACAGCUACAAAGGGGUGUUAUCCAUCACAUUUCCUUGCCCAUGCCGUGCAUCACCCCUGUCCCCUUCAUUAUUUCUAUUUUCAUACACCAUUACAUUCAAUCAUUGCACUCAAUUGGUGCAUAUCCCUUGUCCCCUUCACCCAUCAGAUUUCAUUCACUUUUACCUCCACUACAUGCAUUCAUUCACUUUCACAUUUGAAUCACUGCUCACACCACCAUCCAUCCCUCCAUGCUGUGCACUUCCUUUAUAAAAGAAAGUGUGUGUGGCAGCCAUUAAGUUCAGUUUUUGCUUGAGAAUUCAUCCCCAUUCCAAUACAACUUUCAUCCAAACACAUCCAUUCAUCUUCACAUUCAUUCCUCCAUACAACCAAAUCUUCAAACUCUCACCAACACCUUGUGCCGUAACAAAGGAAGGGAAGGAAAGUGCUUGGAUGUGCAUGUUGUCCAACUUGGAUCGUUGGAGCAUUUAGGUGUCUUCUUUCUUUUGU
rnacentral:lncRNA from 1 species